UGUACAUCAGCCACCAUAGAUCCUAUGUACCUCCCACCAUAUGGUGAACUGCCAUCCUAUAGAAAGACAUUCAAAUAGACAUAACUUUUGAGCACAUCAGGGCUUCUGGGAGAAUUUGCCUAAACUGGAGAACAGAAGAUCUGAUCUGCAACAAAUAGGUACCCGGUGCUUUACUGAUACAGCUCCUUUACAAAAGUGCUGGAUGGACUCAGAGUGCAGCUCCAGAAAUCAGGAGAAAGAAACAUGAAAAACACUUCCUCUGUAAUUAGGAAAAAGUAGGUAAGAAAGAAAGUGGAGAGAAACAAAUUUAAAAAUCCGGUCUUGGGAACAGAAAUAGCAGACAGGACAAACACAGGGAUAGGAGAACACACGCAUCUACAAAACAACCUAACUGAAAAUGGUUUGUGUGUACCUAUAUGGAAAAGGACAUGGUCUCUGAAAUUUUUGGCUCAGUUUCAUUUUCCAAUAUUUGAAAAGAUACCAUUAUAAAGAUUGAUCCAAAAUCAAGUACUGAGAAUUUUUAACACUACCAACCCUUCUGUCAGCUUCCACUAUUACAGCAUCCUUGUUUUCUU